GACGAACGCUGGCGGCGUGCUUAACACAUGCAAGUCGAACGGAAAGGCCCUGCUUUUGUGGGGUGCUCGAGUGGCGAACGGGUGAGUAACACGUGAGUAUCCUGCCCUUGUCUUUGGGAUAACUUCAGGAAACUGGGGCUAAUACCGGAUAGGAGCUCCUGCUGCACGGUGGGGGUUGGAAAGUUUCGGCGGUUGGGGAUGGACUCGCGGCUUAUCAGCUUGUUGGUGGGGUAGUGGCUUACCAAGGCUUUGACGGGUAGCCGGCCUGAGAGGGUGACCGGCCACAAUGGGACUGAGAUACGGCGCAGACUCCUACGGGAGGCAGCAGUGGAGAAUAUUGCACAAUGGGCGGAAGCGUGAUGCAGCAGCGCCGCGUGCGGGAUGACGGCCUUCGGGUUGUAAACCGCUUUCGCAUGUGACGAAGCGUGAGUGACGGUAAUGGGUAAGGAAGCACCGGCUAACUACGUG
rnacentral:rRNA from 1 species